CUAGAAGAUAGAGGCGCGGUAUAUUAAGAAUAUGUAUCUAGAGUAGCCAGCGAUGAAAGAUACAAAAAGGAAUAACCGCCGAAGUGGAAGGGUUUGGCAAAGACCUUUUCGUUGGUUUUGUAUUGAAUAAAUACAAGACUGUCAUCCAAUUUUGGGUGGAGUGCUAUCUGCAUA
rnacentral:ncRNA from 2 species